CCUACGGGUGGCAGCAGUGGGGAAUAUUGCACAAUGGGGGAAACCCUGAUGCAGCGACGCCGCGUGAGUGAGGAAGUAUUUCGGUAUGUAAAGCUCUAUCAGCAGGGAAGAAAAUGACGGUACCUGACUAAGAAGCCCCGGCUAACUACGUGCCAGCAGCCGCGGUCAUACGUAGGGGGCAAUCGUUAGCCGGCAUUACUGGUUGUAAAGGGAGCGUAGACGGAAUAGCAAGUCUGAUGUGAAAACCCGGGGCUCAACCCCGGGAAUGCAUUUGAAGCUGUUGGUCUAGAGUGUCGUAGAGGCAAGAGGAAUUCCUAGUGUAGCGGUGAAAUGCGUAGAUAUUAGGAGGAACACCAGUGGCGAAGGCGGCCUGCUGGACGAUGACUGACGUUCAGGCGCGAAAGCGUGGGGAGCAAACAGGAUUAGAUACCCCAGUAGUC
rnacentral:rRNA from 1 species